rnacentral:lncRNA from 1 species
GUAAGUGUCAGGAACAAGGCGUGCUGGGCAUGGGGGCUGGUGGCCACGCUGGUCAGAGGCUCCGCAGGCCCUGCCACCGAGACACCAUGAGACCUGAACCUGGGCUCCCUCCCGAGACCCCUAACCACAGAGCCCUUUCCCAGGGACCUCAUUAACGUCUCACAGAGCUGGUGCUCCAGGAGCAGCUUCUGGAAGCCCUGGGCCAGCCAGAUGCCCCCCGCCCCGACCCCCCAGCACAGAGCUUCAGUGUUUGAGGUUUGGUGUGGCUCCACGCAGCAGAGCCCCCGAGUCAUCGAACAGCAUCCUCAGCUAAAGGGCGGAGAGCUCUUCAGCAGCGGGGAGAGUUCAGACCCCAUCCCCACCCUCCACUGCUGGGUGUUUCUCACGGGGUUCAGUGGCCAUUUAAGAGCUCGGGGCCCCCGCCACCAUCUCUCUCACCCGCAGGCCCUCAUAUGCUCCCUGCUUGCCGGCGCCAACUUCCCCGAAUACGGUGCCAGCCCACCACCCCUCACUAAACUGCCGCCUCGGCCCCCGACACCAGGAAGGAAAGUCUGAGUCAUUCACAGGCUUCACCUUCUAGUGACAGCCUCCCUUUCCCACUUCAGCUCCUAACAUGGAGGUCACACCUGCUUGUCCCCGACCCUCUUCCCCGGGACUCUCAGGACAUCCAGCUUCCCCCAGAGGCACCUCCCUGUCUGCUCUACUCCCCUCAUCAAAAUGGCCCGCGCCCAGGGCCAUCUCCUCCCAGCUCUGCAUCCUAAGCUGGUCUGAAGGGCUGAUUCAUACUAGAGUGGAAAUGGCUGAAAAGUGCAUUGCUGGGUGAAUUUUCCCUGGAAACACGUUACUAUUUACAUGGUACUCCUGGAAGUCACCCUUUAGCCAAAGGCAUGGAGUUUUAGAGCAGAGAGGCCCCUGGACUUGAAGUGGGAGCCACUGCCUGCUCCUGCUGCUCCUCUCCCUUCUCGAGGCCCAUAGCCAGACAGGGACAGGACCAGCCCCUCAGCGAGUUGGUGGCAGGGCUGGGUCAGGAUCCCAGAGGUCUGGCCUGCAGUACAGACCCCUCCCUUUCCCGACCCAGCUGAGAGCGGGAGGCUGAGAGCCCUCUGACCCCCGGAAGCAUCCCCGGGUCGUGGGAUUCCCAGAACCAGAGAGGGGUCCCACGGGAGGGGUCAGUGGGGAGUGGAUGUGCGGCCCUAUCACCAGGCGGGCAGGGGGGCCCUGGGCCUCCAAACAGCAGGCUAAUUGGCGCCUGGCGGAGCACGCUCUUAAACAGCGGCCCGGCUUCCCUGCCCUGCUCCGCGUGCUGACUCCACUCCCCAAAUGCAGACUGAUACAGCCCUUCCCUGCGGGGCCGCCCCGGAAGCCUCUGACCCGGGCCUCGCCCAGCCAGAAGGCAGCAUGGCGGCUGGGGCUGCAGGCCUGGGGGGAAUGUCCCCUGACCUCGGGGCCCAAGCAUCGCAGGGAAGCCAGCGGGAGACAGAUGCCAGCUCCAGAGGCUGGGGAGGUUAGAGCCGGCCGCAUAAACAGUGAUAGGGAACCGCGUCUGUGCCAGGACGCCGGGACGGGGACCCGAGCUCCCAGCAGAGCACAGCCCGCAGGAAUUGCCCAACCCAUCUGAAACAAGGGUUUCAGAUUCCAGCACCAGCCCCCCCCACCCACAGCUGUCAGGAGCCAGGCCUCCCUGCCUCCCCGAUUGCCUAAGGUGUGGGGACGACGACAGCAGAGCAGGGUGAAAAGGCCAGGCGUCCCUGGGCCCCCGCACACUCUCUUCUGUGGACAGGAUAUGAGGGGGACAGGAACAAGGCCUCAGUACAGCAGUGGCCCCGGGGACCCUUCUCCUCCCAGAACUGCCCUGUGGUAUCACCCGCUUGCCCCUGGGACACAGGGAAGAGCCAAGUCCACUCCUGCCUGCGAAGGAUGUGGGGCCUGGCGAUAUCUCCCACAACCCUUGCCCCCGCUGGCCCCCCACCUUUCUCAAAACGACCGGCUCUGGGGGAGCUGACGAGGCCUCCUCGCCCACUGCGGUCCGUCCCGGGACGGCCCCCCAGCUCAGCAGGACUCCCUCAGCCUCCCUGUCACACACAGGCUGACCCCCUCAUAGGCCAGCCCCUCCUGGGGCAGAAGGCAAAGCCGACCCCAUUCCUUUCACUGUCGUUUACCAAAUCUCUCCUUUUUUCUGCAGAACCUAAUUUUUUUUUCAUUCGCGCCCCAUUGACUAAGCACUGUAAAGCGCAAGGCGGUGGGCGCCGCCUCAUUCCCCUGGACCCCACUGCGAGGCAGACGUUGUCAUCCCGUCUACAGAGGUGAGAGAUUCGGCUCUCCUCGCGGUAUCUUCUUUUCCAAACACAUGAUUUUCCUUGAAGUCAAAAAGAGCUUCCAUAAACAGCCGACCCACAGUUCACAGAGCACCCCAGCAGGCACGGUCCCCAGAGGGACUGCCGACACCCGGAGUCCAUCCAGGCCACGGCCACGGCCUGGGAUCAGCCCAAAACUGGUGGAGCCCAUUAAGGGUCACGACCUGGUAAUUUAUAAAGCACCCACUGUGUCCAUGGUCCACGGGGCCACAAAGGCCACCAGUUCGCUUCCUGGGAGGAGCUUACCUUUGGAAGCUAAAACUGUGACAGCUCUGCACCCAAGCAGGGGGCUCCGGGAAGAGGGGCCUUUCCAAAGGCUUCUGGGAGGAGGCGGAGAUGGCCCGGGGCUCCACAGACGGGGGAGAUUCAGAAGCUGGGUCCAAGUGACAGGAGAGCCCAGUGUCCUCGCUACACCACGUAGCAUGUCACCUGACCUCCGGGAGCCUCAGUUUCCUUUCAAAUGGGACUCACGUCAGUACCUCCCUCAGAGUCAGGGUCAGUGGGCUCUCCUCGCUGACCCACCCCCCGGGCCAGCCUCCUGGGCUCCUGCCCACCAGGGAAAAGGAAGAAACGAGGCCACGGGAACUUUGUCUCCUGCCACGUGGAAGCAGCCAGCCGUGGUGAGGCCACACACUGUCACACAGACUUCAGAUGCCAGAGAACCAAGAGGGCGUCCAGCAGGGUGAGGCCCUGUGGCCUGCUGCCUGGUGGGGUUCUGGGACUCCGGGAAACUGUGCUGCCACCGGCGCCCCAGGUUGGCCUCAGACCGGGCUGGCGGAGCCGCCCAGUGUUUGAAACCUCGCUUGACUGGCAAUAGCCGGCCUGCCAAGGAAUCUGCAGAUCUCCACAUUCAUGAAUGCCCUGUGGGGUGUGACCCCGUGAGACGCAGGCAGGGGUCACAGAGAAGCGCCUGCGAGCCCCCCUCCUGAUAAGCCACACGAGUGAAGGGGAGUGGUCCUCAGAGCACUGGGCUCUUCUUGGCUGGGCCGGCUGCUUCUUCCAAGGAGCAGCUUGCCUGGGGUCCAGAUGCCCAAGCCCCUGAUGAGGAUCCAGCCACGGAAUGACAGGGCUGGACAGUGGGCCCGGGCCCAUCGCUGGAGCCACACACUGGCCCCGGCGCCCAGUUCCCCACCAUAGCUGGAGCAAAAGGCAAAAGCCACCUCCCCAAUCUGUGUUGAGACUUCACGGACGGCAGAACAGUGCCGGGCUCUGCUCCCGCCCGCCAGCCUGUGCCACCUCCUCCGUCAGAGCGGGCUCCUCCAGCAUCCAUCCCUUUUCAGGCCACCUCCUAGAGACCAGCUGGCCACCCGUCUACAGCAGCCCACCUCGGCCCCUCGGGCAUCCCCUUGCGGCCUCCUCUCAAAGCGCUAAGCUGUCUCUAAGUUGGCCUGCUCUGUGAUCUGAUCCGUGUUCAUCUUCUGCCUCCGUGGGGCCUGACACGCUCCUGCUGCAUCUCCCGAGCCGAGAGCCCUGGAGGGAGGUCACUAUCUGCUGAAUGACGACUGAAUGUUGAAAAGGAAAAUGCUCUGUGACCAACACACCUGAGUUGAAUCCCAGCCCUGCUGCUGCCUUGUGACCGCGGGCCAGUUACUUAAUCUUUCUAGUCCAUAAAACAGAGAGAGUGAUGCCGAGGUCCCCAGGCCAGCGCCCUCUCCCCUCCUCUCUGCCUGCCCACAAUCCUCAGAAUGACAGGAUUGAUUCAAAGGCCUUGGUGCCACCGCCACCCCAAAGGCAAAAGCUGCAGUCGCUCUGCUCCCUCGGUGCCCGGGCGCUCUCAGGAGAGGCUCCGAUGUGUUGACACGAGGGCAUUGUGGGCACCAAAAUAAUCCGAUUGCACUUGGAGAGAGGGAGAGCGAGGGGGAGGGAUCAUCGAGCAUCAGACAGGCAGCUAUUCUCCAGGAGGCCAUUUCAUCGUUCUUUCUCAUAUUCCCGGUUUCUAAGAGAUCCCCUAAAUAAAGCAGUUGUAUUAUUUUGUGACUCAUAAAAUACACGUUAUAGUGAUAACAUAGCUAUAAUCAUAACUACACUGAUUGAACACAUACUACACACCGUAAAGCUCUCAAGGUGGGUCUUACUCUCCCACUUUGCAGCUGGUAAAACCGUGGCUCAC